GUAAAAUAUAUUUUUAGGGACUCAUCUUUCUUUAUUUUCAUCAUUUGGGGACUCACCUUUUAUUUUUCAUCAUUUGGGGAUCGACGGUGGAAAAGUGGUUAUUUUCCGGAGAUAGAAAAUACAAGUUAGAGCAGACUCCUGACUCUUGGACGACCCUAAGAGAAAUUCAUGAAUUAUCUCCAUUCUCUUUCAAAGAACAUACGCUAAUCUCAGCCAGGUACUUAGGUUGUUGCAAUGGAACCAAAACCAUGCAUUGUUGUUCAUCACGGUGGAUGUUGGAAAUCAGUUCAUGGCGGUAUGGGAUACGAGGGAAAUCUAUUGUUGAUGGUAUUAGGUUCCUUGGAUAUGAUUAUGGGGGAGAACAAACUUUGCGGUCAACAACAAUAAUGAAUGACAAUGCUCAAUUACCAUCACAAUCAACACAAAAUAGUGUUACUUCCUCUAAUCAUAGCUUUAUUGCUCCAAACGGAAGAAAUUAUAUAUACUCUAAGGCAUUACAGGAUUUGGCUAACAAAAAUAGAGGCCACUACAACCGAGAUUGAUCAGAAGGUGCAAAAGAUUUUAAAGUCCAGGUAAAUUCAUUUCUCUACUUAUAAGCUAGACAAUACUACUUUGCUAAAUGUGUAAAAUGACUCAUCACUUUGGAGCUGGGAUUACCUGAUAUGGGAUUACUAGAGCAGCAUCUAUAUGGCUUCUGUUAUCUUGUCUCGUUUUUUUUUUUUUUUUUUUAAUUUUUUAAAAAAAGUAGCCUAUGUAAAUGCAUUCACAAGGUGCUCAAACUCUCAAAUUACCUUGUUGUCUAAUGCUUCGAUCUUUUUUUUUUGGUAUAGUACUAUGUGUCUAUGCCUUCUCAUGGAGCUGAUUAUUUCUCAUUUUUAUCUUGAAUAUUAGAGGUUCAGAUGCUAUAUAUUGUCAUUAAUAUUUCGUUCCAAUAUUUCUUUAAUUACAUUCAAUAUAAUCAUUGUCACUUAACUAGCUGCAAAAUCUUCAUGAUCUUCCGGUACAUGCAUGCUGCAUUUCACAUGCAAUAUCUUCCCAACAAGCUAGCUGAUUCUAAUCGAGAAUGUCAAAGUUUUUGAGUGAAAUUUUGUAAUCUUACGACCUAUGGUAGUUCUAUAUACUUAAGUUAAUUAGUUAUAUAGUAUGGAGUACUAAAUAACAUUAAACAAUUAAAGAAAGACAAGUAUUUACCCAUGAAACUAGUUGCAAUUUUUUGGGGCUAUUUUGUGGUUACUAAUUUCAGUGGUCAUAUUAUGACCGGAAUUUGCAGUACAGUUUAAUCUUCAUAAAAAUUGUAUUUUGUUUUUAUUUUUUAUUUUGUAAUUAAAUAUUGUAUUUAUUUU